AUGUGUAAACAAGUCUGGUUUUGAAGUCAACAGUAUCUAAUGUCACCUGAAAAUGUCUGAACAAGAACAAGCGUGUGCUGCAUGGUGGUGGUGGUCGUCAUGGAAGCAGAGAUGCGAAGAUUCAACCGUUUACAGAUUCCACAUGGCAGAAGGUGCAGACUAUUCCAUGGAGUCGACUGAAAUAUGGAGGCACUUCAAAGUAUUGCGACGUAGCUGCAUCUCUGCCUCCGGAACUAAACAGCUCUCGCCCUGGAGGAGCGAAGAAGCGCAAAAGAGAGGGAAAAAAGAUCAGUCGGUCGGCGUGCUGGUCGGUCGGUAGUGGGCGUCCGCGGGGUCAGUCGGCAUGGCGUGGCUGAACCGUCUGCGUCAGCUCGGGCUCUUGAGGAACAUGAAAACCACGCUGCGCCCCGCCUCCCCUUCCGCCCCCCACCGCAAUACCCUUUCCGCCGCCCCCUUACUCCGCCUCGCUGACGGGGGCGGGUCGAGCUGAAAGAAAACGAGACUCCGGCGUCGCUCGUGCAUGUGUGGUGCCGGGGACGGGAGGAGGCGAGGGCCGGACGUCCAGACAGACAGGCCGGCGUGGUGAUGUGUGUUGGUGUCGCCGCGGCGGUGUAGUGAUGAUCAAGUGUCCUGUGUGUUGGUAGAGGCCGGGAGUCUGUCCUCAGCAUGGCGGGGCGUCGCGCUGCCCUUCCCCUCGCCUCCCGCCUCCUG